UUUUAUUCAUUUUCGUCGAUUUUGAGAGGGUUUUCGAUCAGAAAACGCCCUCGGUCGUGAGUUUGAGUCCUUCCCCUGCAGAAGGAAGAGAUUCCAACGUGAAAAUCCCCGCUGAAGAGGGACAAAAAGUGUUUUUUUUAUUCCCCAAAAUGGAAUAAGGAAUAUUCCCGUCGGUGGGAUUGGUGUGGGGUUUAUUUAAUAUUUUCCGGCCUUCAAGCGGCCAGUCUACCGUGUUUACAAGUGUCACGGGAUCACAACACCGCGGGAGAUAAGUUCAAAAUCGACCUCAUCGGGAUGCAAAUGGUCAACACGCAUUUGCAGAUACGCUGCGUUGAAUUCCUCAACGGACAGUACUCUGUCGGCCAUGUUGGAAAAUAAAUGUAUGAUCCACAAAAUCAAAACUGGGAGAUGAAUGAAACUUUGAACUUCGCAGCGAAUGUCAACCUAAGUCGGUAAUGGUCUCAAAACCCAAGAACAAAGUCACGCUGGAAAAGCAAGAAAUCGUUCUGCAAAACAAUAAAAUGAAGCCUAACACCGACCUAAAAUAUAAUGAAAACAACAAUAUACGAGAAAAAAACGCGACUAUUGCGGAAAAAGUCCUCGCCACUGUGUUUAUUCUAUCCAAAACUAACUUUUGGUGAAAGUACCCCACGCUCGGGAGGAAAAAUAUUCCUUCAGAAUAUUUUUCCGAAAAAAUUCUAUUUCAGUUGGGCGCCAAUUGUAAGUUAUCGCUUACCACCCCAGCUUUU